AUGCCAGGUGAUUCUGGUUCUGGGAGCUCCCUUAUUAUACAUCAAGAAAUUCAUUCUAGAGAGAUCCACAUAGAUGCUGACUCAGCAGGUUGUCAGCCCUCAGAAGAAUGGCAGGAAGGUGACUACUGCUCCAGGAUAUAAAGUAGGGAAAAAAAAGUCUCUGGCACCCAUGUUUGCUGAGAAAUUAAUAUCACCACACAGGAAGGGAGCCACAUGGGCCAAGUUGCCAAAAGACAGGAGUGCCAAGCUAGGGGACCAUGAGAAGAGAAAUGAGAACCGUGAGGAGGAUGAAGUUAAGACCCGUGAGUUGGACCCGGAUGAGGAAGCAUUUUCUCCAACAAGACCACGUUUCUGAGAGUGGAGGCCAAAUCCGUAUUUUCAUAGCCAGCACGUAGCACAGGCCCUCGUCCAGACUGUAUGUUCAGAUAUUUGUUCGGUGAAGGAAUAUGUGUUAUUUUUUCUACUCUCCAACUCUUGAGAAGUAUUUUUUCUCUUACAGAAAUUUGAUGCUUAUGAGAUCUAAACUCAGACUAAAAAUAUUCUUUUGUGUUUAGAUCAAAAUGCCAAAACACUUUUGAUCAAGAACCUACCUGACAAAGUCACUCAGCAUGAACUAAAAGAAGUGUUUGAGGAUGCUUUUCAAAUCAGCCUGGUGAGCAAGGAUGGGAUGAGUAAAAGGGCUGACUCCAGUAAAAUAACACAUUUGGUGACUUGUCUGGACAGGUACCAAAACAGAACAUUGAACUGGCCUAUCAGAAUUGUGUUGUAAGCAGCUAAUGAAAAUCAUCACUGUGCAUGUUUGCUUUGGAUUGCCUAUGUUGACUUCAAGUCACAAGCCAAUGCAGAGAGAGCCCGAGAAGAGAAGCAAGGAACAGAGGUUGGAGGACUUGCCAUAGUUCUGGACUCUGUUGCAGAGAAAAGCCAAGGCCAAGAAGACAGAGACGGACAGAGCAGAACCCAGAGAGUGGAAAAACGAAAGAUAGAACCAGAAGGCCACACGUUUCAAGAAAAGUGGGAGAGAACUUAUUUCUUUGUGGAGGUAAAGAAUGUUCCCACAUGUUUAAUAUGCAAAGUCUGUCUGCGUCGAAAGAAUAUAACCUAAGAUGCCAUUAUGAAACAAACCAUAGGAGGAAUCAUGAUGGAUAUACAGAAAAGAAACGAGCUAAAAAACUUAAUGAACUGAAAAAAAGACUGAAAUUUCAACACGAUUUGCUUCUGAAUGCGAAUAAAAUAAAUGAUGCUGCUA